ACCUGGCUCAGGAUGAACGCUGGCGGUAUGCUUAACACAUGCAAGUCGAACGGGAUGCUUAGGCAUCUAGUGGCGGACGGGUGAGUAACGCGUGAGAAUCUGGCUCCAGGUCGGGGAUAACAGUUGGAAACGACUGCUAAUACCGGAUGUGCCGAGAGGUGAAAGAUUUAUCGCCUGGAGAUGAGCUCGCGUCUGAUUAGCUAGUUGGCGGUGUAAGGGACCACCAAGGCAUCGAUCAGUAGCUGGUCUGAGAGGAUGAUCAGCCACACUGGGACUGAGACACGGCCCAGACUCCUACGGGAGGCAGCAGUGGGGAAUUUUCCGCAAUGGGCGAAAGCCUGACGGAGCAAUACCGCGUGAGGGAGGAAGGCUCUUGGGUCGUAAACCUCUUUUCUCAAGGAAGAAGAAAGUGACGGUACUUGAGGAAUAAGCAUCGGCUAACUCCGUGCCAGCAGCCGCGGUAAUACGGAGGAUGCAAGCGUUAUCCGGAAUGAUUGGGCGUAAAGGGUCUGCAGGUGGAACUGAAAGUCUGCUGUUAAAGAGUUUGGCUUAACCAAAUAAAAGCGGUGGAAACUACAGAACUAGAGUGCGGUAGGGGCAAAAGGAAUUCCUGGUGUAGCGGUGAAAUGCGUAGAUAUCAGGAAGAACACCGGUGGCGAAAGCGUUUUGCUAGACCGUAACUGACACUGAGGGACGAAAGCUAGGGGAGCGAAUGGGAUUAGAUACCCCAGUAGUCCUAGCCGUAAACGAUGGAUACUAGGCGUGGCUUGUAUCGACCCGAGCCGUGCCGGAGCUAACGCGUUAAGUAUCCCGCCUGGGGAGUACGCACGCAAGUGUGAAACUCAAAGGAAUUGACGGGGGCCCGCACAAGCGGUGGAGUAUGUGGUUUAAUUCGAUGCAACGCGAAGAACCUUACCAAGGCUUGACAUCCUGCGAAUCCUGGUGAAAGCUGGGAGUGCCUUAGGGAGCGCAGAGACAGGUGGUGCAUGGCUGUCGUCAGCUCGUGUCGUGAGAUGUUGGGUUAAGUCCCGCAACGAGCGCAACCCUCGUUUUUAGUUGCCAGCAUUAAGUUGGGCACUCUAGAGAGACUGCCGGUGACAAACCGGAGGAAGGUGAGGAUGACGUCAAGUCAGCAUGCCCCUUACGUCUUGGGCUACACACGUACUACAAUGCUACGGACAGAGGGCAGCGAGCCAGGGAUGGCAAGCGAAUCCAGAAACCGUAGCUCAGUUCAGAUCGAAGGCUGCAACUCGCCUUCGUGAAGGAGGAAUCGCUAGUAAUUGCAGGUCAGCAUACUGCAGUGAAUUCGUUCCCGGGCCUUGUACACACCGCCCGUCACACCAUGGAAGUUGGUCACGCCCGAAGUCAUUACCCCAACCGAAAGGAGGGGGAUGCUAAGGUAGGACUGGUGACUGGGGG
rnacentral:rRNA from 1 species